rnacentral:rRNA from 13 species
GCCGAAUGAACUAGCCCUGAAAAUGGAUGGCGCUAAAGCGUGCGACUUAUACUCAGCCAUCAGCGCGAGACGUAUGUGCUGAUGAGUAGGAGGGCGUGAUGCUCGUAUCGAAGCCUUGGGCGUGAGCCUGGGUGAAACGUGCAUUAGUGCAGAUCUUGGUGGUAGUAGCAACUAUUCAAAUGAGAACUUUGAAGACUGAAGUGGGGAAAGGUUCCACGUGAACAGCAAUUGGACGUGGGUUAGUCGAUCCUAAGAGAUAGGAGAAAUCCGUUUCAAAGUGGGCGUUCUUCGGUUCGCCCCGCCUAUCGAAAGGGAAUUGGGUUAAUAUUCCCAAACCAGGACGUGGAUAUUGAGUGGUAACACAACCAAAGCCGGGUACGAUGGCGGGAGCCCUGGGGAGAGUUCUCUCUUCUUGUUAACAAGCACACUGACCCUGGAAUCGGAUUGACCGGAGAUAGGGU